GGAGAUCCAUCGGAUAAGUAUACUGUUGUUGGGAGGUCAUUUUUUCACCUCACACUGGGGCGUCCUGGUGAGCUUGCAGAUGGCAUAAUCUAUCGGAAAGGGUACUAUCAAAGUUUGAGGCCAAUUCAGUUGGGGCUUUCUCUUAACAUUGAUGUUUCAGCAAGGGCUUUUUAUGAAACUAUAAGGGUAUCUGAUUUCGUUUUCAAAAGCUUUAAUGUCAGAGACGAUCUAAGGCCAUUGCAUGAUCAAGUCCGACUCCAGGUUCUUGCAUAUUACUAAGUUGGAUAUCGGUGAUUUUCUUAUCUAUUAUUAACAUUAUUAAAAGAAAGUUAUAUCUAUUUUUACUGCUGCAACUAAAGAAAAAUUUGAAAGGGGUUAAAGUAGCAUGCAGUCAUUUGCAGAAUACAAGGACUUAUAAGAUUACUGGGAUAUCGACAGAGCCACUGAACAAAUUAAUGUUUUAAAGGUACAAACUGAAAUAUAGCAGAAAUAUUUAUGCUAAAGCCUCUAUGCUGUUACAGAAUGUCCCUCCUGCUAUCCUUCUUAGGUUCCUGCGAGAGCAUAGGUCAGAAUGGGCUGACAACAACAUUGACCUGGCUUCUGCUCUUGAAAUUGGACCAAAUGGAACCAAAGCUUGAAGUGAUUAUUCUGCAAACAAUGGUUGCGUGAGAUCUGUGAUGAUGAUAGCUUUUGAAUUUUCAUUUGAAAGCCAUAUGCAAGAACAUGUAAUACAUGAAGUGAAGAAACUUUGUAAUACAUGUCGCCGAUAUGCCAAGUCUGAGAGGGUCCUAUUUCAUUAUAAUGGCCAUGGUGUGCCUAAGCCGACUUCUAGUGGUGAAAUUAUAACUUUAACAGUUUAUUUUGACAAUUUUAUUUUAGAAUUUAGUACAUGAUAUCAACUUGUUGUUGCCUAAGCAUUUAGCUUCACUGUUUAGUGAAUCUCAGAGUCUUUCUGCCAUAGACUUCUUUCCCUCCAAUUGUAUAUUUAUUAAUAACAUGUAACCGCUCUUAGCCACGUGUUUAGUAGGUUGGUGUUUUAUGAAUGUUGUCUCACUUUUAGCAAAUUUACUCUAGUCUUGUUACAGACUUGUUGCAAUUCAGCCUUAAUUUUAUAAACUGGUUUCAUAAAGUAACUAAUGAUUCCUGGAGCUUAGUUUGUGAACAUAGUAUGUAGUUUUUAUUAAUUUUUGUUACCUACUUCUUAAGUUUAUUGUUUCAGAAGCUUCAAUCUUGGUUUCAAUGCCCAAAUGGUAAAUGGGAGCUUGCAAAAAUAUUGUCAAUCUCAAGGACCGAAUUUGUUAUUGCAUUGCCUGAUGAGAAAGUAAGAGAGCUAUUGAAACUUUUAUUUUUGCAGCAAGAGCUAUGGAAACUUUGAGCUGAGAUUUGAUUGUCUUUUUCCAUUAGAUAUUUGAUUUAUUUUAAUGUUCACUUAAUUAAUUUUAAUGUUUGAUUUAUUUUUCUGAGUGUAAAACUUUAUCUGUCAAAAUAUAGCAGAAAUAUUGUGGAAACAUUGAUGAAAUGUCAGAAAUAUCAAUUUAAUUUUGAAAAGUAUCGAAUAAAACACAAAAGAAACAAUUUAAAUCAUAUUUUUUAGUAUGAAAACAUAAUUGAUAGAGACUCUUGUAAGUAAUCUUUGUAGAGUAUCUUGUAACCACUUUAACAUCAUUUAUGAUUUUAGCAACUAUAGAAUGAAAUCUUGUGAUAGUGACUACUCUGAGGUUAUGAUGGUUUGUUGUGGACUCUGAAGUAUUAAAUAGUUUGUUUCUUUUCAAAUUCUCUCCAUCUCCACCUUUCUUUUGUGAGCUCAUAUGUUUCUAUAUUUUUGCAUCUAAAGGAGUUUGCAAGAACUCUCUUUUGUGUUACUGCUGCCAGAUUCAGAGGAUGCAAUUUCAUCUAGUUCUUCCUUUUAAAAAGGGGAGUCUUCCAUUUUAAAUGAGCACAUGGUUGUGCUGUUGUCUGGAGCUGUUUAUGCUCUUUCUGCCUAUAUGGGUUUGUCCAGGAAAUGAUUAAAGAUCAAGUUGCAAACAUGUAUUUAUGGCUCAAAUCUCUAGAAGUACAAAGUAUGGAUCCAACAAAGUAAAGAUCUGAGCCCAAGGUAAGGCAUCUAGGACACUUAGCUGGUGGUGCUUUAACCAAUGCAUUGGGUGUUGGAAGAAAAUGGUAAGGAUGGUGGUUGAUGAGAGCUCAGGAGGAUUUGGUUUCACAGGGAAGAAUGAGAUUAUAAAUGGGAAGGCAGCUGUAAUUGGGUUCUUGCUGUAAUUGGGUUCUUGAUGAGAGCUCAGUUGGAUUUGGUUUCAGUCGUUGUUUUGCAUGGUAUAUUGAGAUGAUUUCUUUGGAGCAAUUCUUGACAACAUUUGUAGUUGAGGCCUUUAGAAUGGAAGAAUGUAUUUCACUAAUUUUUGUAUACAUGUCUUGUUUUGUAUUUAGUGAUAAAUGAAUCUGAAUUUGGCAUAAAUUAUGUUGUAAUAUGAUUUCUUAAGCCUAGACUAGUAGACUAAAUAUUGUAAUUACAUUUGAGUAAUUAAUAAAAAUCUAUUUAUGCUA